rnacentral:misc_RNA from 1 species
UUUCCGUAGGUGAACCUGCGGAAGGAUCAUUAAUAAAUGGUCUACGUUUAAGUAGACACUUAAUAAUCCUACCCUUUGUGAAUUUGUUGUUUUGAAAUAAUUUUUUUAAAAUUAUUGAUUGUCUUCCCUGUUGAAUAGAAUGUUUUCGAACAUGAAAUUCGCAGGGAGUGUCAGUAAUUUUAAAAGACUUUUUUAAAUUAAACUUUUGUAUUCAUUUGUCUAAAAUUAUUUUUAUAAUAUAAAACAACUUUUGACAAUGGAUCUCUUGGUUCUCGCAACGAUGAAGAACGCAGCAAAAUGCGAUAAGUAGCGUGAAUGCAGAAUACGUGAAUCAUCGAAUCUUCGAACGCAUAUUGCACUUUUUUAGUUUACUAAAAAGUAUGUCUGUUUGAGUAUCAGUAAAAUAUUCUCAUAAAAACUAUUGUUUUUAUGGUUAUGAGUGUUUUACAACGAUACAAGUUGUUUCACUUUAAUUUUUUAAAAUUUGAAUUUUUCUAAUUUUAAAAUAAAUUGGAUAAAAUUUUCCCGUAAAAGGAAUAACCUAAACAAUUUUAGUUUUUGAUUAGAAUUUUCAUUAUAAAGGAAAAUUUAAUAAAUAACUUGAUCUCAAAUCAGAUAAGAGUACCGCUGAACUUAAGCAUAUCAAUAAGCGGAGGAAAGAAACUAACAAGGAUUCCUUAGUAACGGCGAGUGAAGCGGGAAGAGCUCAAAUUUGAAAUCUUCAAGGUUUUACCUUGACGAAUUGUAGUUUAAAGAAGUGUUUUCUGUUGAAGUUUUGGUAAAAGUUCUUUGGAAUAGGACAUCAUAGAGGGUGAGAAUCCGUAUUUGACCAUUAUUUCAGCUGUGUGAUACACUUUCAAAGAGUCGGAUUGUUUGGGAAUGCAGUCCAAAUGGGUGGUAAAUUUCAUCUAAAGCUAAAUAUUGGCGAGAGACGAUAGCGAACAAGUACCGUGAGGAAAGAUGAAAGAACUUUGAAAAGAGAGUUAAACAGUACGUGAAAUUGUCAAAGGAAGCGUUUGACGCCAGUGUUGUUUUCUCGAAAAUCAAUUAAAAAGAGUUGGAUUUUGUGUUGUAUUGACCUUAACAGCUUGCUUCACUCUUUUCCUGCUUUUUUUAAUGCACUUUUCGUUUAACAAGUCAACAUCAGUUUCUUUUGUUGUAAAAGGUCAUUGGAAGGUGCUUUCUCUUCGGAGAAAGUGUUAUAGCUUUGAUCUCUGCAAUCGGAGAGACUGAGGUUGCAGCGUAGAUCCUUCGGGUUAGAUACAUUUGUGCUAAGCUACAGCUUUUCAUAGACAACUUGUUGACUAUGUUUAGUCUUGUAACUUACCCGCUUAUGCUAUUUUACCUACGCUUAGGAUGUUG